CUCGCACAAGCGGUGGAGCAUGUGGUUAAUUCGAAGCAACGCGAAGAACCUUACCAGGUCUUGACACUCCCUGACAACCGAGAGAUCGGGCGUUCCCCUCGGGGGACAGGGUGACAGGUGGUGCAUGGUUGUCGUCAGCUCGUGUCGUGAGAUGUUGGGUUAAGUCCCGUAACGAGCGCAACCCUUGUCCUUAGUUACCAGCACGUUAAGGUGGGCACUCUAAGGAGACUGCCGGUGACAAACCGGAGGAAGGUGGGGAUGACGUCAAGUCAUCAUGGCCCUUACGGCCUGGGCUACACACGUGCUACAAUGGUCGGUACAAAGGGUUGCCAAGCCGCGAGGUGGAGCUAAUCCCAUAAAACCGAUCGUAGUCCGGAUUGUUCUCUGCAACUCGAGAGCAUGAAGUCGGAAUCGCUAGUAAUCGCAGGUCAGCAUACUGCGGUGAAUACGUUCCCGGGUCUU
rnacentral:rRNA from 1 species